rnacentral:rRNA from 1 species
GACAAACGCUGGCGGCAUGCCUAACACAUGCAAGUCGAACGAGUGGCGGAUGGGUGAGUAACGCGUGGACAACCUACCUUGUAAAGGGGAAUAACCUCGAGAAAUCGAAGCUAAUACCCCAUAAUAGAAGAUGGGUCCGCGUCUGAUUAGCUAGUUGGUGAGGUAAAGGCUCACCAAGGCGACGAUCAGUAGCCGGCGUGAGAGGGUGAACGGCCACAGUGGGACUGAGACACGGCCCAAACGCCUACGGGAGGCAGCAGUGGGGAAUCUUCCGCAAUGGGCGAAAGCCUGACGGAGCAAUGCCGCGUGAGUGAAGAAGGCCUUCGGGUUGUAAAACUCUUUCGCUAUCGAACGGGUAGGUGGAGAAGAAGCGCCGGCUAACUACGUGCCAGCCGCCGCGGUAAUAC